rnacentral:rRNA from 1 species
AUACGGAGGGUGCAAGCGUUGUUCGGAAUUAUUGGGCGUAAAGCGCGUGUAGGCGGUCUUUUAAGUCUGAUGUGAAAGCCCCGGGCUCAACCUGGGAAGUGCAUUGGAAACUGGGAGACUUGAGUACGGGAGAGGAGAGUGGAAUUCCUAGUGUAGGAGUGAAAUCCGUAGAUAUUAGGAGGAACACCGGUGGCGAGGGCGGCUACCUGGACCGAUACUGACGCUGAGACGCGAAAGCGUGGGUAGC